AUGGUGGCGUACCCACCUAACAGAAGGAUGUUUCCCAGGAUGCGAAUCCGCCGGCGUCGUUUUGAUCAAAUCUAACUUUUUUCGAUCUAGUUGGCGUGGGGUUUGCCGUACAAGUAUACAGCUAGCAAUUCCGUUUUUCGAACCUCAGUCGUAACUUGGGACAGUCGGAACACACAUCAGACAAAAUAUUAUUCAAAAUUCUUACAAAUAAUAAAUAAAUAAAUAAAAUUACAGUUCUAAUAAAACGUUAACGUUAAAACGUGUAUUCGUGUGGACCAAAAUUUCAAUUUUUUUCGACCUGCCAAUCAGUUUCGAUAAAAUUCAUUUUCAAUCAUUUUACGCUUAAAAUUCUCUGGAAUUUGUGAAAAUAUUCUAUAACAUUGCAGCACGACGACAAGGUCCCCGCGACCAGCUUGUGUCAAGCCAAGCCAAGCCUGAUGUAAAGAACCGAUUUUUUCUAUUUUUGCUCGCUACUAAGUGCAACGGCUAGCUCAACGGCUAGAGUUUGUGCGUUCGUCCCACCAAAUUUAUGAUUUGUAUGAUUGUCUGACCAAGGAAAAGGACUCUUGGAUUAUGAUGUCCGUUAGAUCUGCUUUAGCCUGCUUCUCGCGCUUAGCUGCUUUCCUUAUUUCUUGAUCCCGCUGACGGUUGUGCUGCUGCUGCUGGCAAUAAUCCGGCUGCCAAUACUCU